GAUCAACUGGCCCAGUGGUAAGGCGUCCGUUUUACACCUAUUGUGUGCACGGAAGAUCGUAGGUUCGAGCCCUGCGUUGAUCA